rnacentral:rRNA from 1 species
CUAAUGUUGAAAAAUUAGCGGAUGACUUGUGGCUGGGGGUGAAAGGCCAAUCAAACCGGGAGAUAGCUGGUUCUCCCCGAAAGCUAUUUAGGUAGCGCCUCGUGAACUCAUCUUCGGGGGUAGAGCACUGUUUCGACUAGGGGGUCAUCCCGACUUACCAACUCGAUGCAAACUACGAAUACCGAAGAAUGUUAUCACGGGAGACACACGGCGGGUGCUAACGUCCGUCGUGAAGAGGGAAACAACCCAGACCGCCAGCUAAGGUCCCAAAGUCAUAGUUAAGUGGGAAACGAUGUGGGAAGGCAUAGACAGCCAGGAUGUUGGCUUAGAAGCAGCCAUCAUUUAAAGAAAGCGUAAUAGCUCACUGGUCGAGUCGGCCUGCGCGGAAGAUGUAACGGGGCUAAACUAUGCACCGAAGCUGCGGCAGCGACACUUAGGUGUUGUUGGGUAGGGGAGCGUUCUGUAAGCCUGUGAAGGUGACCUGUGAGGGUUGCUGGAGGUAUCAGAAGUGCGAAUGCUGACAUAAGUAACGAUAAAGCGGGUGAAAAACCCGCUCGCCGGAAGACCAAGGGUUCCUGUCCAACGUUAAUCGGGGCAGGGUGAGUCGACCCCUAAGGCGAGGCCGAAAGGCGUAGUCGAUGGGAAACAGGUUAAUAUUCCUGUACUCGGUGUUACUGCGAAGGGGGGACGGAGAAGGCUAGGCUAUCCGGGCGACGGUUGUCCCGGUUUAAGCGUGUAGGGGGUGUGACUUGGUAAAUCCGGUCGCAUAUCAACCCUGAGGCGUGAUGACGAGUCACUACGGUGAUGAAGUAGUUGAUGCCAAGCUUCCAGGAAAAGCCUCUAAGCUCUAGGUAACAUU